rnacentral:lncRNA from 1 species
CCAGAGACUAUACCAGACCAACAAGAAUGGCUUCCUCAGUCCUUCAGAUGAUAAUGGCCAUAGGACUGCUUACUUUGAUUCUUCCCUGUCAUGCUGAUGAUAAGCCAGUAGUCUCUGUUCCAAAACAAGAUUCAGAACUCCCAUCAUUCUUAAAUUCCCUGGGCACUGGAAUCCUUGAGUCUGCAGUGGAAUAUGUUCUCUCCUCAAUGGCCCGGAGAUCUGGAUUUUCUGAUGUGGAAGAUAAACCAGAAAAGACUUCAUAAAAAGAACUGGAUGCCAAUCUCAGCUCCUCAACCAGACCAGGCCCCUCCUUUCCCUCAGCUUUCCUGGUUGUCCAGCCCAGAGACCCUGAGCUGCUGUUAUUGCUUUGGAUAUCAGUAGCUCCAGUCCCCUGGCUCAGCCUCAGAAGAUUAUGUGUAAAUGAUCACUCUUCCCUUCCUGGAAGACAAAAUAAAGUCCAUAAACUCAUGAUAUUGAGUCA